GUUCUGCGCUGUGAGCCGGGGCACAAAGAGCCCUCUGCACUAGCGCCGCAGGACCGCGGACCCGAGAGAGCAGCAAGUUCCUGGGACAGAGGAGACAGAAGGGAAUUUCCAGGUUCUUCAGGACGUUCACAACCACACUGAGAAGCAUCUUUGCAGAUAAGUAUUUAAACUUACCAGCCCAUAGCCUACCAGCCUGCCCUCUUCUGGUCUGUGCAGGAAAGUGUAGUAUCCUAGAAUACCAAAGUGGGAGGGGAAAUGGGUGAUGUAGCUCAUUCUCUUUUCUACCUCUAUGGAAGAAAGAAAGAGCCUGUCCCCAUUUUGUGGGGUCCCAGAAAGGGUGAUUUUCACACUUCACAUUUGGCAUUAGGGCUAGUAUUUUACAAACAUUACCGUCUGGAACUUUUGAAGGCUGAGUUAAAUGACUUCAUCUUGUGUACUUGUAGAACUGCUAUUAGAAGGAGGCUGGGACUCCCUGAUGAUGUGAACCAGCCCUUCUCUUCUCAGUUUCAGCACUUUGUGAUCAUAUUUAUAAACCUUAGACAGGGCUCCUUGGCCUUACAGUUAAGUGAAGAG
rnacentral:lncRNA from 1 species